rnacentral:rRNA from 1 species
UGGGGAAUAUUGGACAAUGGGGGCAACCCUGAUCCAGCGAUGCCGCGUGAGUGAUGAAGGCCUUAGGGUUGUAAAACUCUUUCAGUAGGGAAGAUAAUGACGGUACCUACAGAAGAAGUUCCGGCUAACUCCGUGCCAGCAGCCGCGGUAAUACGGAGGGAACUAGCGUUGUUCGGAAUUACUGGGCGUAAAGCGUGCGUAGGCGGCUUUGCAAGUAGAGGGUGAAAUCCCAGAGCUCAACUCUGGAACUGCCCCCUAAACUGCAGAGCUAGAAUCCUGGAGAGGUGAGUGGAAUUCCUAGUGUAGAGGUGAAAUUCGUAGAUAUUAGGAAGAACACCAGUGGCGAAGGCGACUCACUGGACAGGUAUUGACGCUGAGGUACGAAAGCGUGGGGAGCGAACAGGAUUAGAUACCCUGGUAGUCCACGCCGUAAACGAUGGGUGCUAGGUGUUGGGUAGCUUGCUAUUCAGUGCCGAA